rnacentral:miRNA from 1 species
UGAAAGACUGAAGAGUACUGUGA